rnacentral:rRNA from 1 species
GAGGAAUAUUGGUCAAUGGGCGCAAGCCUGAACCAGCCAUCCCGCGUGCAGGAAGACGGCGCUAUGCGUUGUAAACUGCUUUUCCAGGGGGAGAAACUUGCGCACGUGUUGCGCAAUUGACGGUACCCUGGGAAUAAGCAUCGGCUAACUCCGUGCCAGCAGCCGCGGUAAUACGGAGGAUGCGAGCGUUAUCCGGAUUCAUUGGGUUUAAAGGGUGCGUAGGCGGACUAUUAAGUCAGUGGUGAAAUCCUGCAGCUUAACUGCAGAACUGCCAUUGAUACUGAUAGCCUUGAGUUUGGUUAAGGUAGGCGGAAUGUGUAAUGUAGCGGUGAAAUGCUUAGAUAUUACACAGAACACCAAUUGCGUAGGCAGCUUACUGAGCCGACACUGACGCUGAGGCACGAAAGCGUGGGGAUCGAACAG